CUGUCUAUUUAUUAAUUGUUUGAAAUUGCUAAGGAGGGUGAAAAUACCUCUAUAUUUAUAAAACGACGAGAAGACCCUAGAAAUUUACUAUAAUGUGUAUAUUCACUACUAUUUUGUUGGGGUGACAGAAUAACAAAUAACUUAUUUUUAUAUAUCUAAGAAUUUUAUAUAAUGGAAAACAAAAUUACUCUAGGGAUAACAGCAUAAUUAUUUAAUAGUUUGUGACCUCGAUGUUGGAUUAAGGAAGGUUGUACUCAGAAGGUACAACUAUUGGUUCUGUUCGAACGGCAAAUUCUUACAUGAUCUGAUUCCG
rnacentral:rRNA from 1 species